rnacentral:tRNA from 1 species
UCUAAUAUGGCAGAAUAGUGCAAUGGUCUUAAGCUCCAUUUAUAAAGGUCCCUACCUUUUUUUAGAA